UUCCAUUUCUAGCUUUGAGCAGAGCUUUGACACCAUGGUACUAACUUUUGGGGACUAGUAUUUCCUGGGCCGUGACUUGUUCUGAGAGAGCAAAGUGCUAAGGCAGAGCCUGUCUGCCGGUUAUUUGUCCUGUCUGAUCUGAACACUUUUCCUGAGCUGUGUAUGACGGAGGGGGGGGUGGUCGGGAACUACUCCUGUGUGCUUAGAAAAGUGAUUGCCAGGUUCUGAACUUCUUAAACUGAUCUCCGUCAGCAGUGACAAGAGCUUUGGACAGAGCUCCCAGCUUUCAGGUCUCAGCUGUGAUAAACUAGGCUCAAAUCAUUUAGUCCCUGGAGUGUGUGUUGGCAUCUCUGCUCCUCUUAAGUUCGGGAUUGUCGCUCUGUUGCUGAUGGGGAAAAUUCAGAGAGGGGCUUUUCAGUGGAUGUGCAGCCGAGAGCAUCAGCAGUGGGUGUUUCCAGCAUCCUUGAAUGCUGCCUCCUGCUGCCUUUAGAAGAAGGCAGCUCUCAGGCAAUGGGGGUGGACAGGCGGCAGAGAGCCUCGGCAGCCCUCUCGCUCGGCUUCCUCUCUUUAAUCUUCUCUAUCACAGCCUUCAGCAGCAGCUACUGGUGUGAAGGAACCCAGAAAGUAGCCAAACCAUUCUGCAGUGAACUCGCAGGUGGCACCCACUGCAUUGGGAUGAACAGCCCAGGUGGAAAUGACAGCAGCGUGGUUCAGUACAUCUGGGAGACGGGAGACGACAAGUUUGUGGAUCGAAAGUUUCAUGCCGGUAUUUGGCAUUCUUGUGAAGAGAUGAUCAGUGGAAAAGGUGAGAAAUGUAGAAGUUUCAUCAGCCUGACACCCCCAGCAGUUCAAGGUGUUCUAUGGUUGUCCAUUGCCGCAGAGAUCCUCUAUAUUAUUUUACUCCUGAUGGGCAUCACUCUCAUGUUGAUUGAAAUCUGUCAUUCCAUCAGUGUCCUGGAUGGGCUGAAGCUUAAUGCAUUUGCUGCUAUAUUCACUGUUUUAGCAGGUCUCCUUGGAAUGGUGGCUCACAUGAUGUAUACAACCGUAUUUCAAAUGACAGUAAAUUUUGGUCCAGAGGACUGGAGGCCUCAGAUGUGGGAUUAUGGCUGGUCUUACUGCUUGGCGUGGGUUUCCUUUGCCUGCUGCAUGGCUUCCUCUGUGACCACAAUGAACAGAUACACAAAAACUAUUUUGGAAUUUAAAUAUAAACAGAAAAAACUGGAGAGAAGUCUACAAGCUAAAUCCAAUCCUCCUGUUCCAGAAAAAGCUUGGAAGAUGUACGUUGACACCCUCCAGAGAACAACCGAGGACUUCAUGCAUCCCUUAACAGACAUUCACAACCCAUCCAGUCCUAUGGGAUUUGCAGAGUUAAAUAACAUUCCUGUGGCACAUUGUGAAGAAUAUUGUUAAGGAGGAGAUCCAGGAUUGUUGAUUUUGCUUUGUAUUAUGGAAAGUACCAAUGUGCCAAGGGAUCCUUUGAGCAGGUAAUUAUUAUCUGGCAAGCAAAUCUCACCAACUGGGUUUUAUAUUUUUGGCUGCAGGCAAAGGUGAAAUAAACAAAGGAAAUAAUUAUGAAGUGUUUAACAGCUCAAUCUUCUUCGUGCCUUUCUUGGCCUUAGAUUAAGAGUUCUGUAAUUUUUGCUGUGAGUGACAGUUAAAGCAACCUGUAUUAUUUGGAUAGGAGGACAAAAUCAUUAAAUCAUCAAACUUUACCAAAAAUGUCCAAGGUCUUCUUACCAUAAGAUAAAACCGCUUAGGAUUUAAGCUUCUCUUCCUGAGCCAGAUUGCAGGACUGCCCUUUCCAUUACCAGUGUACAGUGCAGAUAAAACAGUGAUUUGACUAUAAAGGAAGGGAGGGGAAACCUGUGCCCAGGUUACUUCUCCAGGGUUUGGGAGAAGAGGUGGAGACAAUAAAGGAGAAUAUUUGUAACUCAAGGUUAAAAUAAGGAAUCCUUAGUGCUCUCUGAUCUUGGUUGUUUUCUUGCAAAUGUUUCAUUACCCAAACUAGGUAACAUCAUGAGUUCUAGCUUCAGAAAAGAACCUCUAAUGGAUUUCAGAAUUCAGUAAAGAAAAGUUCAUGGUAAAGCUCACCAAAGCUCGGGGUAAAAGAACUCUAUUGUAUUUUACUCUUACUGCUAUAUGCCUCAGAUGCCACGCCCUUUUGCAGUUCCUCAGCCUGGAUCAACAAAUGAUGCACAGAAUGUCAAAGAAACCAUUGAUCUGCAAGAUAUAGUAAAAGAGUUUUAUAUAUUACUCUUAAAAUCCUAUUUCUGAUGUACUGAAAUGCAUUAAAAAUUCAUACAAAGCAACUUGUAUAAUCAGACAGUGUUCUAAAAUCUAGAUGUCGUCCCAAAUGUAGUUUAGAGGAAAUACUGUAUGUCCCCAGUUUUAUGAGACAAGUGUAGCAAACUGGCAAACAGAUAUAAUCUGAAUUAUUGCUUUAAAUGGGUUUUACUUUCAAAUAAGUAUGUAUAGGAUUAACUAGACUGAGCUUCUGGAAAUGUUGGUGAAUUUAUCAUGCCAGAUGACACUGAUAUGGAAAAGAAGACAUCACUGCGAGUUCUGCUUCAAAAAAAUCAUAUCUGUCUGUUUUCAAGGCACAGUGUAAACUCUAUAAUAAAUGUUGGGGGGUGGGAUUGUACUUGAUUUGCAAAAUCUUCCCCCAGCAUAUUUAGCUGGAUCUCUGAAAUAAUUGGACGUCCAUAUUGACCUAAACUGAAUUUGACACUUAACUUCAAAUGUUCAAAUUACGAUGGGUGUGCUUGAGGACUGAAAUUUUUUCAUGUCGUCUUUUUACUGUAUCGUCUUUUUACAAGUGUAAAAAUCUUUCUUCACUAGUGAUGUUUGGUGGAAUUUGAUUCUUGCUGUGCAAUAAAAAGAGCUGCACAAUG